rnacentral:lncRNA from 1 species
CCCCACUUUAAUCUAUACGGAAAAUUAUUUAGAGCUGGAGAAUUAUCAAAAUAUCGUUUUAUGAAUUCUAUAUACCUCUAAAAAUAUUUAAUAGAAUUAUAAAGCGAUAAAAAUGAUUUUAUAUGCAAUACACUAUUUUAUAUAAUUAAAUCAGUAUAAAAUCCAUAACAAAUGCAAAUCGAUAACACAACUCAACAAUCCAAUAGAAAUAAAAUACACCGACUCUCGAGAAUAUAAUCACAUAAUAAUCAUUUAGAAUUUUUCAAAAUAAUAUAUGAAACUCAUUUUUUUUUUAGGAAACAAUUAUAUACCAACAACACAAUAACUCGGAGUUUAAAAUAUAAAAUUUUGAUUUAAUUAAACUGGAAUAAAAUAUUAAAUCUUAUUCCCUUCCUUGAAGAAAAUCACUUUUAUAAUAAUAAAUAGAUUUUAAAAAAAA